GACGAACGCUGGCGGCGUGCCUAAUACAUGCAAGUAGAACGCUGAAGAGAGGAGCUUGCUCUUCUUGGAUGAGUUGCGAACGGGUGAGUAACGCGUAGGUAACCUGCCUGGUAGCGGGGGAUAACUAUUGGAAACGAUAGCUAAUACCGCAUGAUAUUAAUUGUCGCAUGAUAAUUAAUUGAAAGAUGCAAUUGCAUCACUACCAGAUGGACCUGCGUUGUAUUAGCUAGUUGGUGAGGUAACGGCUCACCAAGGCGACGAUACAUAGCCGACCUGGGAGGGUGAUCGGCCACACUGGGACUGAGACACGGCCCAGACUCCUACGGGAGGCAGCAGCUAGGGAAUCUUCGGCAAUGGGGGGAACCCUGACCGAGCAACGCCGCGUGAGUGAAGAAGGUUUUCGGAUCGUAAAGCUCUGUUGUAAGAGAAGAACGGGUGUGAGAGUGGAAAGUUCACACUGUGACGGUAUCUUACCAGAAAGGACGG
rnacentral:rRNA from 1 species